CUCCUCAGCAGUGGCUGUGAGGUUGCAGCCCCUGGCAGUAGAGGCAGGAGGGUGCCUGGUGUGAGGGAUUUCUUUGCAGUGCACCUGAAGACAGAGUCUGGAGAGACAAUCCAAGGUAAAUUAAAGGAAUGUGGUAAUCAGGACUUCUGAAAAACCCAGUAGUCACUGGCUAAACUGUACCGUAAAAAGAACUGAGCUACACCAACAUGGGAAGUCCCUGAAAAAGGCUGGAAGCAAAAUGACCAUAAUUGAAAUCUGAAAGCACCAACUUCAUAAAGAAUGCUCGGGCUGUGCCUUGGAUAUUAGUUGGAAACCUGAUCACCCGACAUCACUCCGAGGCUGCGAGUACAAUGUGAGUCGUCUGCAACCCGGAUUAAAUCAGGCCCUUUGUACCGAUGCUGAAGGGGCCGUGACGGUGGAGGAGCGAUGGUUUUGGGCAGCAGGAGAUUGUUAACCCUUUGUGCCUCUGGCGGGGA